CAGGAUAACUGCUGCAAAUGUAAUAUUGUAAUGUAACUUAAAAAGGCACCGAGGGGGAAUUGCUUGAAAAUAUAUAGAGCUCCAUCACCACCACACCUUUUGCCCUUCCUGUCUCAGCCAAUGCAGGCUUCUGGUUUGUGUUGCUCCAUUUUGGCUUGCUUUUUCUUUCAGCCUGAUCUUGCAAAAGAGAGCUUUGCUUUUCCUUUAACUUAAUUUUUAAUGUUGGAGACCACACCCUUGUUGGCCACUUUCUACGUAUGUAAGGCCGCUUUCUACGUAUGUCCAACACUGACCAAUGAACACCUUAGCAGUUCUCUGUCUGUGAGGAAGCGGCCUCUGUUGUUUGUCUUAGUCAUAUUACUCGAGGCUUUCCCCUUUAUUGCCCCUGACAAAGAAAAUGUUACAGUCUGCUGCUUGGCUUUAUGAUUUUUGAAAGUGGAAACUGAAAAGAACAGAGGUGAAAUUAAGCCAUAUUCUUAUCACCUUUGUCAAAUGAGCUUCCAGAAUUCCCUGCUUUUCCCAGCUAUAAAAUCUGUAGGGUUACAAAAUGACUGUUUCUGGCCAAUAUAAGUCUACUCCAUCCUUUAAGAUUUACGGGCUGUCCCUUGAAUUAGUUUUAUUAAAUUUAUUUAUUUAUUUAUUUAGGCUCCCCACCCCCCACAAUUCUGAAUCCAUACGGACUAGGUUCUUGUUUUAAAGAAAAUAAAAAUGAACUUCUAGUUAAGCUCAUGCUAAGUUCCAUGUGUUGCAUUUGAUUCUGCACAUAUAUAUCCUUCCAAGAAUUUCCUAGAGCAUGAUUUCUACUGCGGCAUCACAGAAUACCUUGCAUUUAACUCUAUGGGUCUCUUUUUCAGGCUGUGCUGGUGGUACUCGGCCCGCUUCAGGCGGCUUCUGGUGUCCUCUUUCCACUGUUCUGAUACAGAUAACUUUGGCUUUUGCAUCUUCUCAGGUUCCCUGCUGGGAAAAAUACAACAGAUGAAGAGCCAGAGGAAAUGCUAGAGAGCGGGAAUCCAUCAAUAUUCACAUCUGGGAAAAGGCGUUUCCAUGCAACGGUCUUUGGGUCUUCUCUAGAUCAUGGAUUCCCAGAUCUCAAAGCAAGCGCUGAGUGAGAUUGAGGGACAGCAUAAGGAUAUUCUGCGACUUGAGAAUAGCAUCAAGGAGCUUCAUGACAUGUUUGUGGACACUGCCAUGCUGGUAAAAAAUCAGGUACUGUAAUUGAACUGUGGUGGAAGGAUGCCGGAUAUAUAGCCAAGGAGAUUAAAUAAACAUCUCUUUGAGAAAGAAUCAUCUUGGGGGACUGAAAUGAUAGAUCCUUGCAAGGAGCAGGAAAGGGGGAUGACAAUGAGUAAAUCUCCCACCAGUCUACUUCAGGGUCUUGUCAUAUUGCCAGCGCUCCAGCUCUGUUGUUUUCUUUGCUGCUUGGAAAAUAAAGUGUCCAUCUGACAUAUCAUUUCCAGAUGAAGCAAGAUAUGAACACAAAAGGAGCAAUGCGUGUUCCCCAAAUAAGACUAAGGGUUUUUUAUAAUACUCCAGGAGCUUGGGAAGGAAGAGGCACUCAACAGCACUGUCAACAAAAUAUAAGGGAGGGCUUAAGCAUAGGAUAGUGAAACCCAGAACAGACUGUUCGGAAACUAAGGAAUUAAGGAGGUCUGCAUAGUAAAGUGGGUAAGAUGUUGGCCUAAGACCUGGGAGGCCUGCUUCAGUUCCUCACUCAGCCACAGAAACUCAUUAGGUAAUUUGGGGCUAGUCAUGAUUUCUCAGCCCAACCCAGUGUUUCUCAACCUUGGCAACUUUGAGAUG